GGGGUCGACCGGUUUUGACAGCAAGUUUAAUAACUAUGUUAGCAAGUCGAGCAUUGAAAAUGAACUCGUUAAUAUCAUUUUCAAAAUUUAAAUGGCGAAAAUAACUACGCUUUAGCUGCUUAAUUUAUAUAAUUAUAGUAAGUCUUUGCAAUAUCCUAGCUAGGCUAGGAAGCU
rnacentral:tmRNA from 1 species